UUUGAGUCAAGUGGGGAAAAUGUAAGAGUUGGUCCGAUGACGUAGUCUGAGUUUUGUAUUCUUGAGGGCAGUUGAAGGAGCGCGCCGGAAUCGGAAGGUUGGACGGAAUUUUGCUGCUACUAGGCUUUUUCAGUUGCAACCUUUUCCAGGCUUCAAUAAUUGAAGUUUCUAAUUGUCAGCAGCUAUCGUUUGGCGGACACAAUGGGUCGAAAGGCUACGUUAGCAUGCUGCUGCCUAAAUCAGUGGGCUCUAGACUUUGAGGGAAACCUCUGUCGAAUAGUGGCCAGCGUGAAGGAAGCCAAAAGCAGGGGAGCUACGUAUCGCACGGGACCCGAACUGGAAAUACCAGGCUACAGCUGCCAGGACCAUUUUCACGAGAGUGACACGCUGCUGCACUCGUGGGAGGUGCUGGCGGAGCUGCUGCUGCACCCCGUCUGUCGCGACAUCAUCAUCGACGUGGGCAUGCCGGUGAUGCAUCGGAACGUCAUCUACAACUGCCGCGUGGUCUUCCUCAACAGUAAGAUCCUGUUGAUUCGGCCCAAAAUGACGCUGUGUGACACCGGCAACUACCGGGAGACGCGCUGGUUCACCGCUUGGACAAAGCACCGUGAGACGGAGCCGCACCACCUGCCGCGAAUGAUUGCCGCCAUCACGGAGCAGCGCACCGUACCGAUCGGAGACGCCCUGCUGGCCACGCGGGACACCUGUGUCGGAUACGAGAUCUGCGAGGAACUCUGGAGUGCGGAUAGCUCACACGUGGCGCAGACCCUGGACGGCGCUGAGCUGAUCGUGAACAGCAGCGGCUCCCACUUCGAGCUGCGCAAGGCCUACGUGGUGUUUGACCUGAUGCGCUCGGCCACGUCCAAGUGCGGCGGCUGCUACCUGUUCAGUAACAUGCGCGGCGGGGACGGCGACCGGCUCUACUUUAACGGCGCGCCCUCGAUCGCCGUGAACGGCGAGUUCGCCGCCGCCGGCCGGCAGUUCGCCCUGGAGGAGGUGGAGGUCAUCUCGGCCACCAUCGACCUGGAGGAAAUCCGUACCUACCGUAACCGGAUCAGGAGCCGGCAGAUCCAGGCGGCGGCGGCGCCCUCCUUCCCCCGGAUAGAGGUCGACUUCAGCCUGUCCCGAGACGGCGACCUGGCACUGCCCUCCUGGACGCCUAUACAGCCGCACUACCACCCUCCGGAGGAGGAGAUCGCGCUGAGCGCCGCCUGCUGGCUGUGGGACUACCUGCGGCGCAGCGGCCAGGGUGGGUUCUUCCUGCCGCUCAGCGGCGGCGUCGACUCCUCCAGCACCGCCUGUCUGGUGUUCUCCAUGUGCCGGCUGCUGGUCAGCGCCGCCAGACACGACACGCGCACCCUGGAGCAGGUGCGCCGGAUCGCCGGCGACUCGGAAUACACCCCGACCGAUCCACGCGAGCUGUGCGGCCGGCUCUUCACCACCUGCUACAUGGGAUCGGAGAACUCCUCGGCAGAGACGAGGGCACGCGCCGCACAGCUGGCGUCCGAGAUCGGCAGCUACCACCAGAGUAUCGCCAUAGACGUGGCCGUCUCUGCUGUACUGGGAAUCUUCACCACCGUCACGGGACUGGUGCCCAAGUUCCGGGCGCGCGGCGGCACCCCGCGAGAGAACCUCGCCCUGCAGAAUGUACAGGCCCGUCUGCGAAUGGUGUUGGCCUACCUGUUUGCCCAGCUGACCCUCUGGGUCCGAGACCGUCCCGGCGGCCUGCUCGUCCUGGGCUCGGCCAACGUUGACGAGUCUCUCCGCGGCUACAUGACCAAGUACGACUGCAGCAGCGCCGACAUCAACCCCAUCGGAGGCAUCUCCAAGACAGACCUGAAGUCGUUUCUGCGGUACGCCCGGCGCAAGUUCAGCCUGCCCUCGCUGGACGGGAUCCUGGAGGCGCCUCCCACUGCCGAGCUGGAGCCCCUGGCCGACGGGCGACUGGCGCAGACCGACGAACAGGACAUGGGCAUGACGUACGCGGAGCUGUCCGUGUACGGAAAGCUGCGGAAGGAGCACAGCUGCGGCCCGUACUCGAUGUUCUGCAAGCUGAUCCAGAUGUGGGCCGACCACUGCACGCCCGAACAGGUAGCGGAGAAGGUGCGUCACUUCUACCGCUGUUACGCGGUGAACCGGCACAAGAUGACGGUGCUGACUCCGUCGCUGCACGCCGAGGCGUACGGGCCGGACGACAAUCGGCACGACCACCGGCCGUUCCUCUACCACGCCGCCUGGACGUGGCAGUUCCGCUCCAUCGAAGUGGCUCUGAAGCAGCUGCAGGCGGCGCAGGAGGGCGGCAGGUCCAAGGACCGGUCCCAGCUCACUGACCGCCAGCGCAGAGAGCUCAACGACUUCUCCCGCACCGGCACCGGCGCCGGGCACAGCCGGCUCAACACACUAUCAAAGUCAGGUGACGGCAGCGGCGGUGGCGGUAUCAAAGUGUCUCACAACAUCGCGCCGGACCAGCCGGACGCCGCCAAACGGUGCAUCUCACCCAGCAACCCGCAGCAACAGCUCAAAGCCAGUCGACAGGCCUUUCACCUGGUGUGAACACAGGUGGAGGCGCGGCUCCCUCCGCGACCCACCGAGGAAGGGCGUCUCCCCGUGCUGGGUUGGUGGGGAUAAUAUCAGGAAUAGAAUGGGCGGGGAGAAGAGAAGAGAAGAUUGUUGUGUUUACUCUUGAGGACUUUCGUGGGUGGUGUAGACGGCAGUUGGCCCAUAUACGGGCAUGUCUAGCGAUUUUAUUGAAAUGAUUUAGUACUAUACCUUUAGUGUCCCUUGUUAGUGAUAUGUUAGUGAUAAACUUGGAUGGUAGAGCGUAGGAAUAGCGGCACAACUGAGCACAAAAGCCUGACCCGAUCCCAUUAUGUUGUGUGCCAACCGUGAAAUAGGUAGGUACCCAUGCCAUCAGUAUGUUAUUGUUAGGCAUUUCCUACCACCGCAGUAACGUUAUGAUCAAAGCGCCCACUGCCUUAGCACUCGCCGCGCACAACUGGCGUAUGUCAUGUGCUUGUUGUUAUUUUACCCGUGACUGUUUGGCUGGUAUUUGCCGUUGACGGUGUGUGAGCGCUGGUUGUCGCUGCAGGGAGUGAAGUCUGUAUCGCUGUUCUGGGCUCAAUGUCCUGAUCUCACUGCCCUGGCACUGGCUGCCUGCCAUUAAGGGUGGGGACUGGUCGACUGAGGGUGCUGUAGCACACAGUGAGAUAUCUGUAGUCGCUUUUUGGUGCGUGUGAGGUCAGGGAAAUUCGCGGUCGUCUGACCCGCGUCCAGCCUUCUGCACUCCGUCCGAUACCGGGGCGACGGACGGCCCGAAUGGCCCCGUUGGAAGCUGCCGAUCCUGUCGGCUGUCAGGAGCUCAGGGGCCCAGUCGGGGGCCCUGCUGCGCUGUCCCGGUGCCGACCGUGGGGUAGCAGCCGGAACCCUGCUGUCCCGGUGCCUACCGUGGGGUAGGAACGCGCCGACUCGCUGGUCUGCCCCGGUGGUCUGUGUUAUUUGAAAUACUCUGAACGCUGACCGACCCAUCGUAAACGGGUACACAAUCAUAUCCCCGUAUUCGCGGCGUAAUUAUCGUAGCCGGAGCAGGAUGAUAAGUCAUGAGGCCAUCGGGUUGGAGAUACUUUAAGAAAUGUCCGGUUAAAUGUCGGAUGCUCUGUGGCCAUGAAAUGAUCGCCUAAACUUGUGGCUGGUGUAGUAGGUACUUAUCAUGUUAAUACAAUUGUGUCAAAUUGAAAA
rnacentral:misc_RNA from 1 species